rnacentral:rRNA from 1 species
UACGGGGGGAGCAAGCGUUGUUCGGAUUUACUGGGCGUAAAGGGCGCGUAGGCGGCACCGCAAGUCGACUGUGAAAUCUCCGGGCUUAACCCGGAAAGGUCAGCCGAUACUGCGGGGCUAGAGUGCAGAAGGGGCAACUGGAAUUCUCGGUGUAGCGGUGAAAUGCGUAGAUAUCGAGAGGAACACCUGCGGCGAAGGCGGGUUGCUGGGCUGACACUGACGCUGAUGCGCGAAAGCUAGGGUAGCAAACGGG